rnacentral:lncRNA from 1 species
CUCUCCUGCUCUCGUCAGAAGACCUUCUCGGGUCUCGUGACGUUCCUUCCCUGCUUGAUCUGUGAGAUCUUGCCCUUGGCAAGGCAGGUGGACGAGCAGCUGUACCCUCACUUACAGGUGGGACUCCAGUCAAUCUCGCGGAUCGACGAGUUCCUCGCAUCUUCACUCUCUGGAAAACAACAAAUCACAUAAUACAUAAGCAACACAUCAAUAAAUGCAC